AACACUGUUAACCUGCGGUACCUGCGGAGGGAUCAUUACAGUAUUCUUUUGCCAGCGCUUAACUGCGCGGCGAAAAACCUUACACACAGUGUCUUUUUGAUACAGAACUCUUGCUUUGGUUUGGCCUAGAGAUAGGUUGGGCCAGAGGUUUAACAAAACACAAUUUAAUUAUUUUUACAGUUAGUCAAAUUUUGAAUUAAUCUUCAAAACUUUCAACAAUGGAUCUCAGAUCGGAAGAGC
rnacentral:misc_RNA from 1 species